ensembl:miRNA Gm44381 predicted gene, 44381
UGCGAGUCCGCUGCCACCGCUGCUGCCACCCCAUCCCACCCCACCGCAGCAGCAGCAGCAGCAGCAGCAGCAGCAGCAGCAGCAGCAGCAGCAGCAGCAGCAGCAGCAGCAGCAGCAGCU